AAUGACUUUAUACAGUAAAUAUGAAACAAGAAUUUUUUAAAAAAAUGUUCCUGGUACUGUAGCUUUUGUUAUUAUGAAUUCCUGCUUGUGGUCACCUAAAGUACGUCAGAGCAAGAACAACCUUAAAGAAGAAGAUUUACUGAUUUUUUUGUUUUUUUCAGCAGAACAGAGUAGGGAUGGUUAUCUCAUUGAGAUAUAUACAGUACGAAAGGGUUAUUUAAAAACACUUCAGGAUAAAUAACAGAUGAAUUCUUAAAACUGUUAAUCUCUGGUAUCCUUGAAGAUUAAUUAGAAAAUGUCCAUGUGCCUAUAAAGGGACAAACUUAAAAUGGAUAUGAGAAGUGAAGAAAGUGAUCAUAGGAGAAAAUCAUCUCAGUUGCAAUGAUGCAGACUCCAGGAGGCAGGCGCCGGGGACAUGGAAGCUGUGGCAGUAUUAUUUUCUCUUGGCAACAUUGAUCUGGACAUGUGGAUGGAUCUACUACCCCCGGCAUCAAACGGUCCUUUCUUUUGUCUAACAAUGUAUUGUUUCAUGGGUUACUUUAUAAUAAUAUCUACUUUGUGAUGAUCUUGGCUGUCUGCAGACUACUUUCACGCUUGUUUCCUGGUUUCUGAGAGCUCCAUAUUAACCCAAGGAGAAGCAGUGGUUAUUAGGAUCCACGAGUUACAGAUGUGAAAAAUAAGUUUGGUUUGAAUUCAGAUUUCCUUUUUCCCCAUCUUGGAGUUCUUACAUUGCACAAUUCUGCCUCAUUUAGGGCUGCCUUAGCCUUGUGGCGGAGCUCUUCUGCAUCAGUAGAAUCUUGAACACUUUUUAUGUGUUUUCUUUAAUCUUUAUUGUUGAAAGUAUUACUACAUCUUCCCCCCGUUUCCCCGUUCACCUCUUCUAUCUUGCCCCCGCCCCCACCACA